CACCAUUUUAUAUUUGACAAUGCUUUUUGUAUGAUUUUGUACCAGGAAAUACUUUACCGGCUCUCCCAGUGUUUUUUUUUCGUCGAUUUGGGCACAGAGUUUCCUGGUUCACGUGGAUGUGAGGAUCCUUUACUCCAGAUCGCCAGCCAGUUUUUGUUUUUUUUUUCCUGCGUUGCUGAGAGUCUGGGUUUAUUCAUCACACCAGGUGGAUCUUAAUUCCAUAUCCCUGAGGCCACUGCAAUGAGGCAGAGGAGUGUGCUCCCUCAUGAGAAAGGACUGGAGACCGCCCCCAGAAGAGAACGUAUCCAUGUACGGAUUUCCACCAAAAUUGUUAGAAAUGCUUGUUUCCCAGUGCCAUAAAGAAAUUUACUUGAACAUAAAUUUAAUUUCCUCAGCAAGGGCAUUUUUACUUUCUGCAGAAAGGGUACACUCGCCAGCUGUUCUGCCA
rnacentral:lncRNA from 10 species